rnacentral:rRNA from 1 species
CCUGGGAACUGCGUUNUGAACUGGGUGACUAGAGUGUGUCAGAGGGAGGUAGAAUUCCACGUGUAGCAGUGAAAUGCGUAGAGAUGUGGAGGAAUACCGAUGGCGAAGGCAGCCUCCUGGGAUAACACUGACGUUCAUGCCCGAAAGCGUGGGUAGCAAACAGGAUUAGAUAACCUGGUAGUCCACGCCCUAAACGAUGUCGAUUAGCUGUUGGGCAGCAUGACUGCUUAGUAGCGAAGCUAACGCGUGAAAUCGACCGCCUGGGGAGUACGGUCGCAAGAUUAAAACUCAAAGGAAUUGACGGGGACCCGCACAAGCGGUGGAUGAUGUGGAUUAAUUCGAUGCAACGCGAAGAACCUUACCUGGUCUUGACAUGUACGGAACCCUCCAGAGACGGAGGGGUGCCUUCGGGAGCCGUAACACAGGUGCUGCAUGGCUGUCGUCAGCUCGUGUCGUGAGAUGUUGGGUUAAGUCCCGCAACGAGCGCAACCCUUGUCAUUAGUUGCCAUCAUUAAGUUGGGCACUCUAAUGAGACUGCCGGUGACAAGCCGGAGGAAGGUGGGGAUGACGUCAAGUCCUCAUGGCCCUUAUGACCAGGGCUUCACACGUCAUACAAUGGUCGGUACAGAGGGUAGCCAAGCCGCGAGGUGGAGCCAAUCUCACAAAACCGAUCGUAGUCCGGAUUGCACUCUGCAACUCGAGUGCAUGAAGUCGGAAUCGCUAGUAAUCGCAGGUCAGCAUACUGCGGUGAAUACGUUCCCGGGUCUUGUACACACCGCCCGUCACACCAUGGGAGUGGGGGAUACCAGAAGUAGGUAGGGUAACCGCAAGGAGCCCGCUUACCACGGUAUGCUUCA